UAAUUUAAAGUCUAAUCUGCUCAAUGAAAUAUUAAAUGGCCGCAGUAUUUUAACUGUGCAAAGGUAGCAUAAUAAUUAGCUUUUUAAAUGGGGGAUUGUAUGAAUGAUUGGACGAGAGAGUUUCUGUCUUAAUUUGAUUGGUUUUUGAAUUUUAUUUUUAAGUCAAAAAGCUUAAAUAAUUUUAAAAGACGAGAAGACCCUAUAGAGUUUGAUACUUUAGAUUGACUAAAUUUAGUAAUUCAGUUAAGUUUAAAUUAUUUAGUUGGGGUGACUAAAAGAUUAAAAAAAUUCUUUUUUAAAUAAUUGAUGAUAAUUAAAUUUAAAACGUAUAUUUUUAAAUUAAAAAUAAAUUACCUUAGGGAUAACAGCGUAAUAUUUCUUUAAAGUUCAUAUUGAAAGAAAUUUUUGCGACCUCGAUGUUGGAUUAAAAUUUAUUUUUGGCGCAAUAGCUUUAAAAUUAGGUCUGUUCGACCUUUGAAAUUUUACAUGAUCUGAGUUUAGACCGGCGUGAGCCAGGUUGGAUUCUAUCUUUAAUUUUUUUUUUUAUUUUAGUACGAAAGGACCAAAUAAAUUUUACAUAUUA
rnacentral:rRNA from 1 species